AGAUUUUGUAGUCUUUGAUGGUUUAGGUGUUGAUGAUCUGGGUUUUCUGGUGACUGUAGGAGAAACUGGAUGUUGUGGUUGGGGUUGAGACUGUGGUUGUGGUGCUUGAGGCAUAUUCAGCCUAGCUCUUAAUGGAGCUGGAAUUUGUAGAGGCCUGAGAACUGGUCUCUUCUCAUCUUUAGAUAUGAGAUCUUUGAAAACCCUUUUAUGAAGUUUAAAAGGUUUGAUCUCAUCUGCAGCAUCAAAAGCCACUUCUCCAACAGUGGCAUUAAACA
rnacentral:lncRNA from 1 species